rnacentral:lncRNA from 1 species
UUUGCAAUUAAUAAAUUUCAGAUAACGGUAACAAAAAAUUAAAAAUGAUUUAGGACAAAUAGACCUAGAUGAGAGUAUAUUUGCAAUUAGACCAUGUGUGCACGUUCUUUUUUUCAAAAAGACUCGAACUUCUAUACAUGGUUUUUCUUUGACUUCCAUGUUUCCACACCGUGAUAUGAUGACGAUUUGUAGCCAGUAAAGAUUUUCAUAUUGCAUAUAUUAUC